AGGGUUCGAUUCUGGCUCAGGAUGAACGCUAGCGAUAGGCCUAACACAUGCAAGUCAGGGGCAGCACAUGAGUAGCAAUACGAUGGUGGCGACCGGCGCACGGGUGAGUAACACGUAUGCAACCUACCUUUAACAGGGGAAUAACCCGUUGAAAAACGGACUAAUACUCCAUAACACAGGGGUCCCGCAUGGGAAUAUUUGUUAAAGAUUAAUCGGUUGAAGAUGGGCAUGCGUUCCAUUAGCUUGUUGGUGAGGUAACGGCUCACCAAGGCCACGAUGGAUAGGGGAACUGAGAGGUUUAUCCCCCACACUGGAACUGAGACACGGUCCAGACUCCUACGGGAGGCAGCAGUGAGGAAUAUUGGUCAAUGGAGGCAACUCUGAACCAGCCAAGUCGCGUGAAGGAUGAAGGUCUUAUGGAUUGUAAACUUCUUUUGCAAGGGAAUAAAGUGGGGGACGUGUCCUCCUUUGCAUGUACCUUGCGAAUAAGGAUCGGCUAACUCCGUGCCAGCCGCCGC
rnacentral:rRNA from 1 species